GGGGAAUAUUGCACAAUGGGGGGAACCCUGAUGCAGCAACGCCGCGUGAAGGAAGAAGGCUUUUCGGGUCGUAAACUUCUAUCGAUAGGGAAGAAAGAAAUGACGGUACCUAAAUAAGAAGCCCCGGCUAACUAC
rnacentral:rRNA from 1 species